UACAGAGGUUGCAAGCGUUAAUCGGAUUUACUGGGCGUAAAGCGUGUGUAGGUGGUUUGACAAGUCGGAUGUGAAAGCCCUGGGCUCACCCAGGAAGUGCACUCGAUACUGCAGAGCUUGAGUAUCGGAGAGGUUGGUGGAAUUCUCGGUGUAGAGGUGAAAUUCGUAGAUAUGCGGAGGAACACCGAUGGCGAAGGCAGGUCUCUGGGCCAUAACUGACGCUGAGAAGCGAAAGCAUGGGGAGCGAACAGG
rnacentral:rRNA from 1 species